GAUGAACGCUGGCGGCGUGCCUAAUUCAUGCAAGUCGAGCGAAUGGAUUAAGAGCUUGCUCUUAUGAAGUUAGCGGCGGACGGGUGAGUAACACGUGGGUAACCUGCCCAUAAGACUGGGAUAACUCCGGGAAACCGGGGCUAAUACCGGAUAACAUUUUGAACCGCAUGGUUCGAAAUUGAAAGGCGGCUUCGGCUGUCACUUAUGGAUGGACCCGCGUCGCAUUAGCUAGUUGGUGAGGUAACGGCUCACCAAGGCAACGAUGCGUAGCCGCCCUGAGGGGGUGAUCGGCCACCCUGGGACUGAGACACGGCCCAGACUCCUACGGGAGGCAGCAGUAGGGAAUCUUCCGCAAUGGACGAAAGUCUGACGGAGCAACGCCGCGUGAGUGAUGAAGGCUUUCGGGUCGUAAAACUCUGUUGUUAGGGAAGAACAAGUGCUAGUUGAAUAAGCUGGCACCUUGACGGUACCUAACCAGAAAGCCACGGCUAACUACGUGCCAGCCGCCGCCGUAA
rnacentral:rRNA from 1 species